rnacentral:rRNA from 1 species
AGCAGUCGCCGCGGUAAUACAGAGGGUGCGAGCGUUAAUCGGAUUUACUGGGCGUAAAGCGCACGCAGGCGGUCUGACAAGUCAGAUGUGAAAUCCCCGGGCUUAACCUGGGAACUGCAUUUGAAACUGUCAGGCUGGAGUCUUGUAGAGGGGGGUGGAAUUCCAGGUGUAGCGGUGAAAUGCGUAGAGAUCUGGAGGAAUACCGGUGGCGAAGGCGGCCCCCUGGACAAAGACUGACGCUCAGGUGCGAAAGCGUGGGGAGCAAACAGGAUUAGAUACCCCGGUAGUCCCUGUCUCUUAUAC